AAAGAUCAUGCUUCUGAGCUCUGUUAUUAAAGUUGAUAUCUGACUUUCAGAGCUCUGAAUUAUUUGUGUAUUGAUUUAUCUUACAUUUGGCAAGUCAUCCAUUUUCCAUUAGCAAAAUCGAUUCAUUAUUAUUAACAAAUUCUUCUUCAUUUACUUUUAUUUUCCUUCCUUUUUGGGCUGCAGGAAUCUCUAUGCAGAUUCGGCAAAUCUAAAAAGAUGCAAUAGAGGAUGUGUACCUUGAAGAACUGCUUUAUAAACAGCAGGAUUCUUAGACAGAAGACGCAGCAUAAAAGUCAUAAGAACGGAUGAGGUAUCAUGUCCUGCAACCAUGACUAGCAUGAUAUUGUGCAAAAUUUCCUUGUCAGUCACAACUCGUUUAUUUUCUUCAUCGCGCUUACUUAACAGGCAUGUGAUCAAGUCUUGUUGAGGAGUGGCAGUACGCUGCUCUAGUUUCACUUUCUUCUCUUGUACAAGUUCCUUCAACAGAUCUUGGACCCUGGAGCUUGCACGAAGGCUCCUACUGUAGCGAGUGAACGGCAGCUUUAUUGGUAUCGACCACAUUCCCUCUAUCAUUUCUUGAAAAUUUUGCAAGAAUUUUUCUUUUUCAGCUCUUUCCUCCAUACCAAAGAGAAGAGAGCAUAUGAUGUUGAAUGUAAGGUUUUUCAUCAGGGGCAAUGCCUAUAGGAAAAUCAAAACACAUUAGUGUUAUUUACUCUGCUUUUGUUUAUCAAACAGAAUAUGCCCCCUCCUAGUCUAUGCAUUCAUUCUCAUAGUCAAUACAUGUAGAGUCCAUACAAUUGUGAACACCAGUUAUAUGAGUGUGAGUGCAUACUCCAUAUGUUUCUUAAAAUUGAAAAGUAUUGAAUUUAUCUCAAACCGAUCAAAGCAACAGUGGGAGUCUUAUAGCAUAUCGACAUACCGCAACUUUUUCCUUGCCCCGCCAGUGCAACUCGAUGUGCUUUCUGACUUCUUCAUCCAUUUUCCCGACGUACUGCUUCAGAGAUUCUGGUCGCAAGAACGACACCAGAGAGUCUCUCACGCGUUUGUGAUCUUGGCCACUGAGUUCCAGCAGAUUGCGGUCUCCUAGAAUAGCGCGGAUGGAUGCUGUUUGUUUGUUGGCUAUCUUGCUGCUGUCUC
rnacentral:lncRNA from 1 species